rnacentral:rRNA from 1 species
UACGUAGGGGGCUAGCGUUGUCCGGAAUCAUUGGGCGUAAAGAGCGUGUAGGCGGCCGUACAGGUCAGCUGUGAAAACUCGAGGCUCAACCUCGAGACGUCGGUUGAAACCGUACGGCUAGAGUCCGGAAGAGGAGAGUGGAAUUCCCGGUGUAGCGGUGAAAUGCGCAGAUAUCGGGAGGAACACCUGUGGCGAAAGCGGCGCACUGGACCACAACUGACGCUGAGGCGCGAAAGCUAGGGGAGCAAACAGG